rnacentral:rRNA from 1 species
GCGGGCCCACUGGGGCCUGUCCCCGGUCGCCGGGGGGCAUCUGCCCCCGGGCCCGCGCCCGCCGAAGCGCCCUGGAACCCUGUCUGAAUAGUGAGUCUGAGUGAAUGAUUGAAUCAUUAAAACUUUCAACAACGGAUCUCUUGGUUCCGGCAUCGAUGAAGAACGCAGCGAAAUGCGAUAAUUAAUGUGAAUUGCAGAAUUCCGUGAAUCAUCGAGUUUUUGAACGCACAUUGCGCCCCCUGGCAUUCCGGGGGGCAUGCCUGUCCGAGCGUCAUUUCUGCCCUCCAGCCCGGCUGGGUGUUGGGCGCUGUCCCCCCGGGGACACGCCCCAAAGGCAGUGGCGGCGCCGCAUGGGUCCUCGAGCGUAUGGGGCUUUGUCACCCGCUCUGAGGGACUCGUCGGCGCUGGUCUUCCCCCAGGCGGCCCGUCUCGGGCUCGUCUUCUUCCGGUUGACCUCGGAUCAGGUAGGGCUACCCGCUGAACUUAAGCAU